UUUUUGUCUCUCCCCUUCUCUCUCUGUUUCUCUUCGUUUUCUUCUCUUAAUUUUUUUUACUUUCACUGGCUUGCUAACCAAACAGCUUCUAUGAACUGGUUUGUUUCUCUCUAUCUGGUUGUUUGCCUAUUCCAUUUUCUUGGUGGUUAUAAAAAAUUUUAGGGUUUUGUUCAUGGGUCAUUUAGGUUGGCCUCCAAUUUUUUGAUUACUUGAAAUCCAUAAGUGAACAGCUUCUGUGAACUGUUUGUAUCUCUCACAUGAAAUGAAAUGUUCUGUUUUGGUAUCGCUAUUAUAUAUAUAUAUAUAUACAUAUAAUCUGUGUGUAUUUAUCUAUAUACCUUAAUCUACAUUGUGUGCGACUCAUUUUCUAUCUGAUUUUCCUGUAAUUAAUUUGAGUUGUCAGAGGUAAUUGUUCUGUACUUUCAAUUUUCUUUUCCCUUGUUCUUUCCUAUCUCCUAUGGUAGUUUACAUGAACAGUUUUGUUUUUGAAAUUUUGAUUUAUAAUCUUGCUUAACAUGGUUUUGGAAACUUAAAUUAAGUCAUACUAUUGACCCUUUAUAAUGUGGAUUUCUGAUUUUGUGUUAUGGAUCUCUAAUUUUACCACCCAGUAAUUUGAAUUCAUGUAGUUGGGUUAUUGGAACUGCUUAUACAAUUAUAUUUAAUAAUAAUGUAAUAAUUUUCCUUGAUUUACUAGCUUUGAGGAUGUGUAAGUAUUAAUUCUUUGCCUCAUUACCAUUUCUUUGCUUUCAUGGACUCUAGAGAGUAUAUUUUUGAAAUCUUGAGUAUUGAGUUAGGGUUUUUCUUGGCUGGUUCUGUUUUUGAUUAAAUAGAAUGAUCAUUGUAAUUUUUUUUUCAAUUAAAUUUUUUUCGAUUAAAGGCAUUGCAGUUUCUUCCUUAACCUUUUAGUAUGAUGAUGUUGAGAGCAAGAGCCUAAUUAUAAAGGCAUUAUACUAAAAAACAGUUUUUGAGUUUGUUCUAUAUCACAUGAUUCAAACUGUUAUAUUGUUAUAGAAACAGGGAUUGUGAGAGAAACAGGGAUUUAAAAUAAAUAAAUAAAUAAAACUCUAGAUGAUUGAUAGAUUGAGGUAAAUAGUAUAAUUAUCACUUGGCUGGUUCUGUUUUUGAUUAAAUAUUGUUCAGGUAAUUUCAGUGUUUUUUUAUGUUGUGUGUCACUCGAUUUCUGCCUCUUCCCUUGUCUCUCUGUGUGUGUUUUUGGCUGCAAUUCAAACCCAUCGUUCUUCAAUUCAACAGAGGGUUUGAGACCAAGAGAGUGAGACACACACACGCAAUGGAGAAUUUUGAGUGGGUUCGAUUGAAGGGACGAUUAUGUAGAAGACACACACACGCUUAGGGUUUUUAUCAGUGGUGAUCUCGAAAUCAGUUGUGAAUGUACCCCUGGUUGUCAGGAAGGUCUCUUCCCUACCCUCUUCGAAAAAUGGGUUCGAAUAACAUGCAUAUGAUAUUGUGAGUUUAUAUAGAUAUUCUGUGAUACACUGGUUUUCAAGUUGAUGAGUGUCACUCUGUGCUGUCUUGUGUUCUUUUACGAUGGAAUGUGAUUCUUUGUUGCUUCUUAUUCAUGGGUUUGAAUCGCAUUUUGAAAUUUACUUCCUUUUUUUCUUUUAUACACUUCAAGUGUAUGCUGAUUUGUCUGUGUGAGCCACUUUUCUUUGAUGUUAUAUAGCAUGGUUGUUUUUCUACA